rnacentral:pre_miRNA from 7 species
GUUUAAUGUGGUGCCUACUGUAAGACCCCCUUUCGGGGACCCCCACUCUAGUCUCGGGAGUGAGAGAGCACCCAAAGAAACACGAGAAUCC